AUUGAACGCUGGCGGCAUGCCUUACACAUGCAAGUCGAACGGUAACAGGUUAAGCUGACGAGUGGCGAACGGGUGAGUAAUAUAUCGGAACGUGCCCAAUCGUGGGGGAUAACGCAGCGAAAGUUGUGCUAAUACCGCAUAAGAUCUACGGAUGAAAGCGGGGGAUCGCAAGACCUCGCGCGAGUAGAGCGGCCGAUAUCAGAUUAGCUAGUUGGUGGGGUAAAGGCCCACCAAGGCGACGAUCUGUAGCUGGUCUGAGAGGACGACCAGCCACACUGGGACUGAGACACGGCCCAGACUCCUACGGGAGGCAGCAGUGGGGAAUUUUGGACAAUGGGCGCAAGCCUGAUCCAGCAAUGCCGCGUGCAGGAUGAAGGCCUUCGGGUUGUAAACUGCUUUUGUACGGAGCGAAAAAGCUCUCUCUAAUACAGAGGGCUCAUGACGGUACCGUAAGAAUAAGCACCGGCUAACUACGUGCCAGCAGCCGCCGUAA
rnacentral:rRNA from 1 species